GGCAUCUGCUAAGUGUGGCACGAUUCCUGCUCGGGACUCUCAAAGCCCUUGCAGCGAAGAAAAUAGCAGGUUGACCCAGUCCGACCGACGGAAUGCCACAGUAGGAGGAAUGGGUGGAGCCUGACAUCCGUGACCCAAUCUUUGUACCAUGGAUGCCUUGAACACGCAGCUUAGACCUUGAAAAGACCCAGGGAGACAACUACAAAUAUCAGAAGGAUGAACCCAACAAUGGAGAGUGUGUUCCUCAGCCAGAGGCCUCGUGCUCUAAAGCAGCCGAAACAGAAAACUGAAGGUCAAUGUGGCUGGAACAAAGUAUAAACUCAGUCUCUGGGAGGAAAACAAAUCUGAUGAAAACUCAUGGGCUGGGUCUGAGCCUGGAGUUCACUGAUUCAUCAAGACCAGCUGACCAGCAAGCUUCAGCAAUUCUCCUGCUUUCACCUCCCUAGUGCUGGGAUGACAGGCAUGUGCUGUCAAGUCCUGCUUUUUACUUGGAUGGAGCAAGCCCAGGGCACCUUACCAACGGAGCCAUCCCUCUAGCCUCCCAAUUUAUGUAUUAUUAUUAUUAUUAUUAUGAUUAUUAUUAUUAUUAUUAAUGCAGGCUCUCAGCUAUCAGAUACUGACCUUGAACUUGCUCUGCCGCUGAGGUUGACCUUGAUGCCCCUGCCUCUCUCUACCUAUGGGUCUUGACCCCUUAGGGGUGGAAUAUCAGAGAUCCUGCAGAUCAGAUAUUUACAUUACGAUUCAUCCCAACAGCAAAACUACAGUUAUGAAGUAGCCAUGAAAUAGUUUUAUGGGGGGCAGGGCUCAUUGCAACAUGAGGAGGGUCAUGGCAACAUGUAUUAAAGGGUCUUAGCAUUACGGAAGGCCGAGAACACUGCCCUCGAGUGUUGCCAUCACAAGUGCCACACCUGGUUUACGUGGUCCUGGAGAAGAAGCCCAGGCAUUCCUGGACACUAGUUAAACUCUCUACCAACUGAGCUACCUCUCAGUCCCCUAAUUCCAAUUUUGACAUUAAGACUUUAAAAACCAAGCUGGGGCUAGAGAGGGCCUCAGAAGUUAAGAGUACUAGCUGCUAUUCCAGAGGACCUGGGUUCAAUUCCCAGCAUCCACAUGGCAGCUCACAACUGUCUGUAACCCCAGUUCCAGGGGAUCUGAUACCCUUACACCAAUGCAUAUAAAAUAAAAUUUAAAUAAAUUAUUUUUAAAAAAUAAAAAUGAAAACCAC